rnacentral:lncRNA from 1 species
CUCUGUUUACAGAUGGUAAUGAGGAUGGUAUUCGAGGUAUAAAUGAAGAUCUCUUUAUGAAUUGUUUAUUCAAAGAGUUAACAAUGUUUCUCACAUUGAGGUCUUCUUUUGAUUAAGGGGUGCAUAGAAAACAUUUCUGUACAUGUUUUAAUCGAGCCAAAGAAGACCUUAGCAUAGGUGGCAUUGUUAAUUCUUCAUGUGAUUGACCUAGUUCUACCUCUGUUUGAUAUUAAAUGUAUGAUUAGUCUAAUGUUUUAGAUUAGUUGUGUAAAGGAUUUCAAUGAUAGGUAACUUUAUAUCUGGGGUUAGGGAUUUUGACGUUUAGAAGUUCGACAUUUGAGGAUUGGGGUUUCAUUGUCUGGGGAGUUAAGAUUUGGGCUUUAGGUGUUCUUCACAGUUUGGGAUGUUGUUCCAUUUUCAUAUCAGUCGUGUAAAGUAUGUGACAAAGAAAAAGAGUAAUUGCAAGAAUUGCAAGGUUCUAUAUAUGGAAAUGUGAUGCAUGUAUUGAUUUGUCGAGGAGUAGAUAUGGGAUUCUUUUGAGCUUUAUUGCUGUUAGGACCAAGGAAUAGGGCUGAGGCUUUUUUCUUUGAGUUCAAUAUAAUUGUAUACGGAGUAUCUAGAGAUAUAGGAAAAAACAUGAAGCAACUAAAGAGAAAUUGAAUACAAGUUUACUAUAUGUAAAUGUGCUAUUUGGGUUAGACGUAAUGAGAUUGAUUAAUAUAUAUAGAGGUGCAAUUUGCCUUUAAGAUAAUGGAUAUAUCUUUACUGCUGCAUGAAUAUGUCAUUAUUGUAACGUUUGUCUAACUUAAGUUGUUUUGCUCUUUAAUUUUGAAACCCUCUUAAAACUCUUACAUGAUAUCAGCUUAAACCCAAUGUUCUCAUACUAAUUAAGAAAGUAAUAUUCAUCAGUGUAAUUCCAUUUUAAGAAACAUAACUAUUUUGCUUUAGUUUUAUCUUCCACAAUAUUUAAAUUUUCUUUUUGAAUGAAUGAGAAACUGGAAUGUUGUAUAAGAGUUCAAACUCAAUAAUAAAUUACAACCAGAUUUUCCCUGCUUUUCAAAAAUGUUCCAAUUCUAUCAUUUACAUCCUCUCAUUCACAUCCCGCAAUAAAGUGUGGGCAUUCUUACUAGUGGAAUAUAUAUAGCAUGUGCCUUCUGUAUAGAAUUUUAUGGACCUGCAGAAUGUCAUUCUACAUCACAACUUUCCUCACAUGAUAACAUUAAUUCUCUGUCAAAAUUAGUUAUGUUAAUUUAGUUUGGUCUCAAUUUUGCCAGGCUUGGUGUUGAAAGAGGAAUGCAAGCUAGUGUCUUAUAUUUGGCUAAGUUAUGUUUACCGUAGUAUUAUUUCUACUUAAUUCUAACAAUUUUUUGCUACACCUUUUGGAUCUCUCUCUGUCUCUUUCUCUUUCCCCCCUCCUCCCUGCCUAACAAUGUCUCUCUCUCGCUCGCUAUUUAGAUGAUGCACAUUUUCUCUAUAGAUAGAAAAAAAAUUGGUAGUUUGAUACUAACUUGCAUGGUGUCUUCUUCUUUAUAGUCAUCUGGGUUUGAUACGGUGUAAGCAAAAUUUGGAUUUUAUCUGAGAAUGCACUGAGCUACAAUGUAGUCUCCUUGUCAUUUCCAGAAGCUGUACUUCUAUUGUCUUUGGUAGGGAUUACAGAACUUGAGGUUUGGUACUUCAUAUGGUAUUGCUGGUAGCAGUGAGAAGGGGAGCAAGGGUAGAAGCUCGGGGAGCUUUAGAAAGAUGAUGAAGUGUCUUUGCUUGGGAGAGCAGUUAAGAGCACCAUAUGAUUUGGUAUUUUCAAAUGUGGAAUGAGUGGGCUAAGUUUGUCGUCAAUACAUAUAUCUAAGAGCUAUUAGAAUGACUUUUUGUGUUUGAUGAAUGUAUAGAUGAUUAGGAAAUACAUCAUUUGUAGUAUGUAUAGAUGACUAUAAUGUAUGAAUUUGAGUGCUUUAAUUGAUGAAUUG